rnacentral:rRNA from 1 species
CCUACGGGGGGCUGCAGUGGGGAAUAUUGCGCAAUGGGGGAAACCCUGACGCAGCGACGCCGCGUGAGCGAUGAAGGCCUUAGGGUCGUAAAGCUCUGUUGUAAGGGACGAAUGUUUAUCUGGCCAAUAGUCAGAUAAAGUGACGGUACCUUACCAGCAAGCCCCGGCUAACUACGUGCCAGCAGCCGCGGUAAGACGUAGGGGGCGAGCGUUGUCCGGAAUUACUGGGCGUAAAGAGCACGUAGGCGGGUAAUUAAGUCAGAUGUGAAAGACCGGGGCCCAACCUCGGGGUUGCAUCUGAAACUGGAUAUCUUGAGGGCAGGAGAGGAAAGUGGAAUUCCUGGUGUAGCGGUGAAAUGCGUAGAAAUCAGGAGGAAUACCAGUGGCGAAGGCGGCUUUCUGGACUGACCCUGACGCUGAGGUGCGAAAGCGUGGGUAGCAAACAGGAUUAGAUACCCCAGUAGUC